rnacentral:rRNA from 1 species
GUAGCGGUUGUCGGUCACUGGAAACCCGGGCUUAACCCGGGUUGCAGUGGUACGGCAGAUAGAGUCAGUAGGGAGACUGAAUUCAUGUGUAGCGGUGAAAUGCGCAGAUAUCAGGAGGAACACCAAUGCCGAAGGCAGGUCUCUGGGCUGUAACUGACGCUGAGAAGCGAAAGCAUGGGAGCGAACAGGAUUAGAUACCCUGGUAGUCCAUGCCGUAAACGUUGGGCACUAGGUGUGGGGAACAUUCCACGUUUUCGCGCCGUAGCUAACGCAUUAAGUGCCCCGCCUGGGGAGUACGGCCGCAAGGCUAAAACUCAAAGAAAUUGACGGGGGCCCGCACAAGCGGCGGAGCAUGCGGAUUAAUUCGAUGCAACGCGAAGAACCUCACCAAGGCUUGACAUAUACUAGACCGCCUCAGAGAUGGGGUUUCCCUUCGGGGCUGGUAUACAGGUGGUGCAUGGUUGUCGUCAGCUCGUGUCGUGAGAUGUUGGGUUAAGUCCCGCAACGAGCGCAACCCUCCUUCUAUGUUGCCAGCACGUAAUGGUGGGGACUCAUAGGAGACUGCCGGGGUUAACUCGGAGGAAGGUGGGGAUGACGUCAAAUCAUCAUGCCCCUUAUGUCUUGGGCUUCACGCAUGCUACAAUGGCCGGUACAAAGGGUUGCGAUACUGUGAGGU